rnacentral:rRNA from 1 species
UUCCCUUCGGGGACAUUGGUGACAGGUGGUGCAUGGUUGUCGUCAGCUCGUGUCGUGAGAUGUUGGGUUAAGUCCCGCAACGAGCGCAACCCUUGUCUUUAGUUGCCAUCAUUAAGUUGGGCACUCUAGAGAGACUGCCAGGGAUAACCUGGAGGAAGGUGGGGAUGACGUCAAAUCAUCAUGCCCCUUAUGCUUAGGGCUACACACGUGCUACAAUGGGUAGUACAGAGGGUUGCCAAGCCGUAAGGUGGAGCUAAUCCCUUAAAGCUACUCUCAGUUCGGAUUGUAGGCUGAAACUCGCCUACAUGAAGAUGGAGUUACUAGUAAUAGCAGAUCAGAAUGCUGCGGUGAAUGCGUUCCCGGGUAUUGUACACACCGCCCGUCACACCACGGGAGUUGGAGACGCCCGAAGCCGAUUAUCUAACCGUUUGGAAGAAGUCGUCGAAGGUGGAAUCAAUAACUGGGGUGAAGUCGUAACAAGGUAGCCGUAUCGGAAGGUGCGGCUGGAUCACCUCCUUUCUAAGGA